rnacentral:rRNA from 1 species
GAUCGGCCACAUUGGGACUGAGACACGGCCCAAACUCCUACGGGAGGCAGCAGUAGGGAAUCUUCGGCAAUGGACGAAAGUCUGACCGAGCAACGCCGCGUGAGUGAAGAAGGUUUUCGGAUCGUAAAACUCUGUUGUUAGAGAAGAACAAGGAUGAGAGUAACUGUUCAUCCCUUGACGGUAUCUAACCAGAAAGCCACGGCUAACUACGUGCCAGCAGCCGCGGUAAUACGUAGGUGGCAAGCGUUGUCCGGAUUUAUUGGGCGUAAAGCGAGCGCAGGCGGUUUCUUAAGUCUGAUGUGAAAGCCCCCGGCUCAACCGGGGAGGGUCAUUGGAAACUGGGAGACUUGAGUGCAGAAGAGGAGAGUGGAAUUCCAUGUGUAGCGGUGAAAUGCGUAGAUAUAUGGAGGAACACCAGUGGCGAAGGCGGCUCUCUGGUCUGUAACUGACGCUGAGGCUCGAAAGCGUGGGGAGCAAACAGGAUUAGAUACCCUGGUAGUCCACGCCGUAAACGAUGAGUGCUAAGUGUUGGAGGGUUUCCGCCCUUCAGUGCUGCAGCUAACGCAUUAAGCACUCCGCCUGGGGAGUACGACCGCAAGGUUGAAACUCAAAGGAAUUGACGGGGGCCCGCACAAGCGGUGGAGCAUGUGGUUUAAUUCGAAGCAACGCGAAGAACCUUACCAGGUCUUGACAUCCUUUGACCACUCUAGAGAUAGAGCUUCCCCUUCGGGGGCAAAGUGACAGGUGGUGCAUGGUUGUCGUCAGCUCGUGUCGUGAGAUGUUGGGUUAAGUCCCGCAACGAGCGCAACCCUUAUUGUUAGUUGCCAUCAUUCAGUUGGGCACUCUAGCAAGACUGCCGGUGACAAACCGGAGGAAGGUGGGGAUGACGUCAAAUCAUCAUGCCCCUUAUGACCUGGGCUACACACGUGCUACAAUGGGAAGUACAACGAGUUGCGAAGUCGCGAGGCUAAGCUAAUCUCUUAAAGCUUCUCUCAGUUCGGAUUGCAGGCUGCAACUCGCCUGCAUGAAGCCGGAAUCGCUAGUAAUCGCGGAUCAGCACGCCGCGGUGAAUACGUUCCCGGGCCUUGUACACACCGCCCGUCACACCACGAGAGUUUGUAACACCCGAAGUCGGUGAGGUAACCUUUU